GACGAACGCUGGCGGCGUGCUUAACACAUGCAAGUCGAACGGAAAGGCCCUGCUUUUGUGGGGUGCUCGAGUGGCGAACGGGUGAGUAACACGUGAGUAACCUGCCCUUGACUUUGGGAUAACUUCAGGAAACUGGGGCUAAUACCGGAUAGGAGCUCCUGCUGCAUGUUGGGGGUUGGAAAGUUUCGGCGGUUGGGGAUGGACUCGCGGCUUAUCAGCUUGUUGGUGGGGUAGUGGCUUACCAAGGCUUUGACGGGUAGCCGGCCUGAGAGGGUGACCGGCCACAUUGGGACUGAGAUACGGCCCAGACUCCUAUGGGAGGCAGCAGUGGGGAAUAUUGCACAAUGGGCGGAAGCCUGAUGCAGCAACGCCGCGUGCGGGAUGACGGCCUUCGGGUUGUAAACCGCUUUCGCCUGUGACGAAGCGUGAGUGACGGUAAUGGGUAAAGAAGCACCGGCUAACUACGUG
rnacentral:rRNA from 1 species